rnacentral:rRNA from 1 species
UCGGGAAUUUUGGGCAAUGGGCGAAAGCCUGACCCAGCAACGCCGCGUGAAGGAUGAAAUCCCUCGGGAUGUAAACUUCGCAAGAACAGGAAAAAUAAGUAAGGGUUAAUACCUCUUACGAUGACGGUACUGUUUGUAAGCUCCGACUAACUCCGUGCCAGCAGCCGCGGUAAUACGGGGGGAGCAAGCGUUGUUCGGAUUUACUGGGCGUAAAGGGCGCGUAGGCGGCCUCCGCAAGUCAGUUGUGAAAGCUCCGGGCUUAACCCGGAAAGGUCAACUGAUACUGCGGGGCUAGAGUGCAGAAGGGGCAACCGGAAUUCUCGGUGUAGCGGUGAAAUGCGUAGAUAUCGAGAGGAACACCUGCGGCGAAGGCGGGUUGCUGGGCUGACACUGACGCUGAAGUGCGAAAGCUAGGGGAGCGAAC